AGUUCGAGGUAGGUCAUAUCUGAAAACAAUUCGUGUUAUGAGUUUUUUUCGAACGAUGCCAUUGUCGUGGUAUUACGUUACUCUUGCUAUAUAAACAUGUUUACAUACCGGCAAUAUAAUUCAAGCGUGUGAAUAUCGCGAUAUAUCUGUGGAUGAAUUUGCCCUUGAUUGACAGAACACACGCGACGAUCGACCCACGAGCAUCGAAAUUACGCGCAAUCCGCGAAUCCCGAAGAUACGAUUAAUUCGGCGGACGAUUCGCGAAAAAAAAGACGAGAUUGAUCUUUUUGUCGUCGAAUGACGAACGCGACUCCGCAAUCGAAAUCGACUACAACUACGUAGUUGCGCGGUACAGUCCGCGCCAUCUGUCACGAAACAGCGAACUAAUGUCAUUCGCGGAACUCGCGGCGUCAGUUUACCCAUUUACCACGCAUGGACGCGAUUUUGAAUAUAAUUUCGGUGAAACCAGCGAUGGACAGAAGGAUUCGGAUAAGUUGCUGACGACGUAAACUACAGUUCCAUCAAUGCAACAAAAUGCGAAUGUGUGUCAAAGGAAUGCAGCUACGUCACAGGAGCGCGAGUUUGAAACAGUAAAACCAACGAUCACAGAAAGAUGCAAGAAAGGAAACUGUUGAUAACAAAUCUAUAUUAAUUUCAUCAUCAAGUUGACGUGACGAAUUGCAGAGCUGAUUGAUUUCACACACAUCUAACAAAUUCAAUUACUGCGGAAAAUUAGAGAGCUUGAUAAUUUGGAGAAUCGAUUUUCGCCAAGUAUACAUAUGAUGAGGAAUCUUCGAUAAUAUCACCCGAUCGAUGAAACACGCUAUCAGCAACUGAUGAAUCUGCGCUUAUGCUUUCCCUUUUGCGUUCCUGACGGACGAUCGAGUGACCUACUUGUUAAUUGUCGACAGGCGGGUCUACGCUCUAAUUAACGGUAAAACCGAUAU